rnacentral:rRNA from 1 species
UACGUAGGUGGCAAGCGUUGUUCGGAUUUACUGGGCGUAAAGCGCGCGCAGGCGGCUGGCUAAGUCCGGUGUGAAAUCUCCCGGCUCAACUGGGAGCGGUCAUUGGAUACUGGUCAGCUUGAGGGAGGUAGAGGAGAGUGGAAUUCCCGGUGUAGUGGUGGAAUGCGUAGAUAUCGGGAGGAACACCAGCGGCGAAAGCGGCUCUCUGGGCCUUUCCUGACGCUGAGGUGCGAAAGCGUGGGGAGCAAACCGG